rnacentral:tmRNA from 1 species
GGGGGCGCAAUGGUUUCGACGGGGGCAAGUUGCUCCUGGGAAGCGAGUCGAAGGGAUCCUGUACCUGCGUUAAAAAACUGGGAACUUAAAUAUAAUUGCAAACGAUAAUUUUGCAUUAGCUGCCUAAUAGUUGCAGCUCGUCAGCCUAAGAGUCCCACGACUUAGGGUCUGGCGUCGACAGUGGGGAACCGAGCCUUACAAAGCUUUGAGUAAGGAACGGAAUUAAUGAAGCUACUAAAUCUAAGAGCCCGUUUAUCGGCGCUUAGAGGAGGGAAUGUAAAAGGAUAAACUGCACUCGGAGAUGCCCAGGGGUUGCUGCUUUCGGACAGGGGUUCGAUUCCCCUCGCCUCCACCA